UACAAAAGCAGUGGUUAAUAUAUUAGAAAUCCUUACUAUGACUUCAAGAAACAAAGACAAGAGUCACGGAGACAAGGUUCUAGAAGACUGACGUAAUUGAAGAGAGACGAGAAAGUAAACGAGUGUAGCACCCACAAGAAUGUUCAAAGGAGGGUAGAGAAAAAGAAGCCGGGGUAGAAAACAGAGGAGUACAGCUAAGAGAAACUGGAUAUUAUCAUCCCACCAACGCCAGGAGAUAAUCAGAAAAGAGCCACCACUAAAGAGCCAGAGAUGACUCCUUAGAGGAGACUUCUUUCCAAGAAGAUUCUUAUUACCCUGAAACGGUGGCCAGCUGCCGAGUUACUAGACAGCAGAGCCGGGAAGCAGCGGCUCCUGGAAACGCCGCAGGCCUCGCCCCUCCGGCUCAGGGCGGCGCCGCAGGCCCAGCGGGCACCGGGCCGUGGUGUGGGCCCCCUACCUGCUGUUCAGCGGCCGCACUCGCACGCAGACGGCCACGGCUCCUUCCUCCGCCAUCGUCUUAGGCUGAACAAGUCCCAGGAAAAUGGCCAGGACCCUCCGCGGCCGACGCUUCAGGGCGCACGGGCCGCCCCGCCUUUAAAUUUAAAAUUUCCCAAACGCUGCAUCUGAUUGAGCCGUGGCCCCGUGACGUCAUGGGCCAGUCCACCUGCGGCGCAGCGCGGGGGACGCAAGGCGGGCGGCGGGAACACGAGAGGGGAUUUAAAGGGCCUGGCGGAGAGUCGCAGAAGAGGGUCGAAGGGAGGGGCGCCCGGGAGUUGGCGGAGAGCGGUGGUCCUGGAAUACCAGAAUACUGUAAUCUCCCAAAAGCCAGCGAACAUCAUCCUCCAUCCCAUCCUUAAAGAGUUUGGAACCCGUAGACGAAACCAGGUAGAGAUACAUGUAUUUUUCACUACCCAAACAAAAUUGCUGUCCUUUAAAGAAACUACACCAACAGUUUAAAAUAAACUUCAA